UUGAGUUACCAAAAGGGAAUACCCCUUUGUUCGGUCGAUAGCUGGAUACUGAUUUUGUUAAUUAAGCGUAUGUUAAGUACGUCAGUCUAGUUGGGAAGAGAGCAUAAGCUCUCUUUUCUUUUAUGG
rnacentral:ncRNA from 1 species